UCUUUUGCUACCCGCUAUACAAGAAGCCAUUAGAAUAUUUCACACCGCAUCCAUCAUUAAAAUUUCUUGUUUUCUUAAGUCAUAACUUAAAAUUUUAAGUGAUGAUGAUCCCGAUCAUAUGAGAAUGAUUGGACUGGGUAAUAUUUUCUGCAUUUAUUAUGUUAUUUUUAAAUCAAAACGAACCAUUGAUGUAUGCGUUCCGAGACUGUCCAGUGAUGCGUUAGCUAAGUGCCUUGUUAAAGUACAACAGCAAAAUGGAUCGAAAACAAGAAUCAUAAUCCACAAGAGCAACGACCUACGAAAUUUACAAUUGUUUACUCUAAACAAAAUAGAAGUGAAACUUAUAAAAUCAGAAGUUCGCCUGGAGCAUGAGUUUAUAGUAAUCGAUUCCUCAGAACCGAACGCCAUGAUUUUGCUGGGAAACGUUUGUUGUGGGGGAUGCUGGGAUAAAAUGGAGUGUUUCAAUAAAGCCCCCACAAUAUUGUCUUCGGAAAAAUCUUUAGUAGGUGCUAUGAAACAAGAAUUUGACAGAAUAUGGAAUUCAGAAUCAUACUAGUAAUGACAUUUUUUUUAUUAUAAAUAUUGUUUAAGUUUAUAAUAUGUAAUCUUAUUUUUGUUUGUAGAUUAAUAAUUUGGAAAUAAAACACGUAAAUUAACAAAA